UGGCUCAGAUUGAACGCUGGCGGCAGGCUUAACACAUGCAAGUCGAGCGGUAACAGGAAUAGCUUGCUAUUUGCUGACGAGCGGCGGACGGGUGAGUAAUGCUUGGGAAUAUGCCUUAUGGUGGGGGACAACAGUUGGAAACGACUGCUAAUACCGCAUAAUGUCUACGGACCAAAGGGGGGGAUCUUCGGACCUCUCGCCAUUUGAUUAGCCCAAGUGAGAUUAGCUAGUUGGUAAGGUAAUGGCUUACCAAGGCGACGAUCUCUAGCUGGUUUGAGAGGAUGAUCAGCCACACUGGGACUGAGACACGGCCCAGACUCCUACGGGAGGCAGCAGUGGGGAAUAUUGCACAAUGGGGGAAACCCUGAUGCAGCCAUGCCGCGUGUGUGAAGAAGGCCUUCGGGUUGUAAAGCACUUUCAGUUGUGAGGAAAGGUGUGUAGUUAAUAGCUGCAUACUGUGACGUUAACAACAGAAGAAGCACCGGCUAACUUCGUGCCAGCAGCCGCGGUAAUACGAGGGGUGCAAGCGUUAAUCGGAAUUACUGGGCGUAAAGCGUUCGUAGGCGGUUGAAUAAGCAAGAUGUGAAAGCCCAGGGCUCAACCUUGGAACUGCAUUUUGAACUGUUCGACUAGAGUACUGUAGAGGGGGGUAGAAUUUCA
rnacentral:rRNA from 1 species